rnacentral:misc_RNA from 1 species
AGAUUAGCAGGUGCCCCGGGAGGCGGAGGCGGCGCAACCAAAAGCUGCGUCCUCUGUGUAGCGUCUGCAGUGUUUGAAGUUUGAGAGCUCUUCUCCUUACCCGUGUGACCAGGAAAGAUGGCUAGACCCUGACCCUUGUCUUGCACAGAGUGCAAACCCCUACUGCCAUGCAAAUCUGUUGAGGGAACCACAUUGACGUUGCAGGCCUUUGCCCCAAAUUGUAAAGCAGAACCAGCAGCUGCUGGCCAGAAAGGAUUCAUCCUUGUAAA